UACGUAGGGUGCGAGCGUUGUCCGGAAUUAUUGGGCGUAAAGAGCUCGUAGGCGGUCUGUCGCGUCUGCUGUGAAAUCCCGAGGCUCAACCUCGGGCUUGCAGUGGGUACGGGCAGACUAGAGUGCGGUAGGGGAGACUGGAAUUCCUGGUGUAGCGGUGAAAUGCGCAGAUAUCAGGAGGAACACCGGUGGCGAAGGCGGGAUCCUGGGCCAGUACUGACGCUGAGGAGCGAAAGCGUGGGGAGCAAACAGG
rnacentral:rRNA from 1 species